rnacentral:rRNA from 1 species
UGAGGAAUAUUGGUCAAUGGGUGCAAGCCUGAACCAGCCAUCCCGCGUGAAGGACGACUGACCUAUGGGUUGUAAACUUCUUUUGUAUAGGGAUAAACCUACCCUCGUGAGGGUAGCUGAAGGUACUAUACGAAUAAGCACCGGCUAACUCCGUGCCAGCAGCCGCGGUAAUACGGAGGGUGCAAGCGUUAUCCGGAUUUAUUGGGUUUAAAGGGUCCGUAGGCGGACUUAUAAGUCAGUGGUGGAAGCCUGUCGCUUAACGAUAGAACUGCCAUUGAUAUUGUAAGUCUUGAGUAUAUUUGAGGUAGCUGGAAUAAGUAGUGUAGCGGUGAAAUGCAUAGAUAUUACUUAGAACACCAAUUGCGAAGGCAGGUUACCAAGAUAUAACUGACGCUGAGGGACGAAAGCGUGGGGAGCGAACA